GGAGACGCCUACGUUACCACCCCAACAGGAGGAAGACUUUCUCCUCGCCCAGCGACAGCCCAGCCAAUGGGAGCCACGGCUCAGCGAGUGAAGAGCCAGUGAAGAGCUGUCAUAACCCCACACUCCUGCCCUCCUUCAAUAGACUUUUGCUCAUCUCAGCAGCUCCUAACUCCUUCCUUUUUCUCAGUCGACAACUCCAACCCUGAAUUCCUGCUCCUCCAUCUCCAUUCAAUGGCCUUCAGCCCCACUGGUUUCUGAGGUGCUUGGGACACCUCUCUUCUUCCCAGCAUUUGGCUUAGCUGGCAUCUGAUCCCUUUCACCAUCUCCACUGCUGCCAUCAUUUUACGACCAGGGACCACUGCUCCCCCGGACCACUGCAGCAGCCUGCUCCUUGUGCUCGAACCUUCCACCAAGCAGCAGGUGAUCCUGUGAAAGUGUGACUCACCUGCUUAGAACUCUCUGUGUAGUAAAGGGGGGACCAGCGAGGCCUGGCCCUCUGUCACCCACCCCAACUAGACACUCUUCAAUUAAUGACUGAAGUUCUAGGCUCUUCCAGGAGCCUUUGAGCAAGACCUAACUGCAGCAUAUGCAGAGUAUUCUGAGAUAGGGCUCUGUCACCUGAAAUUUUCAAUACUCAUUUUUCUUGUUUAAUCUCCUGUAUCUACAAUGAGGAUAUCCAGUUUUGUGGAUGAACCUUCAAAACUCGGAAAUCAAAGAAGAUAGCUUCGUUUAUACAAAAACAUUGUUUUGUAAAUUGUAAAAGCCAUAGCUCCAAAAACAUGAGGCAUCAUAGCUACCGGGAAGAUCUGAACCAAGAGACAGAACCAGCCUGUGCCUUCGCUGAGGACAGCAGUGGGAUGUACUGUUCAGAGCCAUAAGCCACUGAACUAUAGACAGGAAAUGAUGGAAAAUGACUUAGUCCACAAACAGGAGAAUUAUUUUGUAAUUGCAAAGAAUGCAUUUAAUAAAACCAUGAAUGCAACAUAUCGAUAUUACACACUUAAGAUAUGCCAAGGUGCCAAAAGAAAGAGUUCUUCAUUCUAAAUUGUCAAUUUUAAAAUAAAAUAGCCAGUUAUUAUACCAGCAAAAUGACUUUAUUUGAGAAUAGCAAAAAAACUGCAAAUCAGGACAUGCAAACUAAGGUGAACCUACUGGUGCAUUCAGAGAACAAAAGAGGAGCUGCUUUUAUAGAGAAAAAGGGGGAGCCGGAAGGGGCUGUUCUAAUUGAAAGUCCAUUGGAGGAGUGUCAGAGUUCAGGGUGAUGACACCUCCUCGAUGGCUGAGCUGCGGCAUUUUCCAUAGCCUGGGCUUGCUGCUGGGCAAGAAGAAAAUCUUCCUUCCUCCGGCAAGAACAGUAAAGUAGUAGGAAACUUCCUGAUCCAGGAAUGCAAGGUACAGUCCCUUCACCCUGGGGUAAUCGGCCAUGAGUGGUAGGGCUUCAGAGCUCCCCCUACAGGCUUUCCCAACACGAAGUUUAGUUUAGGUUUCCGUUAUUAACUUUCACAAACCAAAGCAGAGUUUAUCAAGGAUGCUCAGGAGCCACUUUCUGUGAAAUAGAAAUGAAUCGAAAAUUGACAAGUGAGAAUAACAGGAGGAGUCAAGAUCAUCAUGAAAGAGCAUGUCCUUCUUUCAGUGCAAAUGGGGACACACGGGAAACGAGGCCGAGUACAGAAAAAACUGGAAUGUCAACAGAGGAAUACAAGUAAGUCGGACAGAACGGAAAAAAAGGUUGGAAAUGAGAAAAUGAGGAAAGAUACUGUAAGAUAUUCAUGAGAGUGGACACAGGAACAUUACAAAGUCCAUUCACACUUAAAAGAGGGAAAGAAAUAAGAGGCCAGUCUCUGGGUCAAGAGUGGCCCUCUGGAGCAGCUGCAUGUAGGUGAGGUUCUCGUGGGUGUUGGGGUCGAAGAAGCCCUUGGUGUCGUCGCUCGGGUCCGCCAGGACGCGGUUCAUCUCCUC